UACGGAGGGUGCAAGCGUUAUCCGGAUUCACUGGGUUUAAAGGGUGCGUAGGCGGGCAGAUAAGUCAGUGGUGAAAUCUCCGAGCUUAACUCGGAAACUGCCGUUGAUACUAUUUGUCUUGAAUACUGUGGAGGUAAGCGGAAUAUGUCAUGUAGCGGUGAAAUGCUUAGAUAUGACAUAGAACACCAAUUGCGAAGGCAGCUGACAAAACUGUAACUGACGCUGAGGCACGAAAGCGUGGGGAUCAAACAGG
rnacentral:rRNA from 1 species